UGGCGCCUCCUGCCCCGCCCACUCACCCCGUCACGUGGUGGUCGGGCGAGGGCCUCGGGGCAGCAC
rnacentral:pre_miRNA from 1 species